rnacentral:rRNA from 1 species
AUUGAACGCUGGCGGCAUGCCUUACACAUGCAAGUCGAACGGCAGCACGGGGCAACCUGGUGGCGAGUGGCGAACGGGUGAGUAAUGCAUCGGAACGUACCUUUCAGUGGGGGAUAACGUAGCGAAAGUUACGCUAAUACCGCAUAUUCUGUGAGCAGGAAAGCAGGGGAUCGCAAGACCUUGCGCUGAUUGAGCGGCCGAUGUCAGAUUAGCUAGUUGGUGAGGUAAAGGCUCACCAAGGCGACGAUCUGUAGCGGGUCUGAGAGGAUGAUUCGCCACACUGGAACUGAGCCACGGUCCAGACUCCUACGGGAGGCAGCAGUGGGGAAUUUUGGACAAUGGGGGCAACCCUGAUCCAGCCAUGCCGCGUGAGUGAGGAAGGCCUUCGGGUUGUAAAGCUCUUUCGGCCGGGAAGAAAUCGCACGGGCUAAUACCCUGUGUGGAUGACGGUACCGGAAUAAGAAGCACCGGCUAACUACGUGCCAGCCGCCGCCGUAACAC